GAUGAACGCUCGCGAUAGGCUUAACACAUGCAAGUCGAGGGGCAGCACAAGGUAGCUUGCUAUCUGGGUGGCGACCGGCGCACGGGUGCGUAACGCGUAUGCAACUUGCCCUAUACAGGAGGAUAACCCGUCGAAAGACGGACUAAUACUGCGUAUGCUCACAACUUGGCAUCAAGUGGUGAGGAAAGAAAUUCGGUAUAGGAUAGGCAUGCGUCCCAUUAGCUUGUUGGUGAGGUAACGGCUCACCAAGGCAACGAUGGGUAGGGGAACUGAGAGGUUUAUCCCCCACACUGGUACUGAGACACGGACCAGACUCCUACGGGAGGCAGCAGUGAGGAAUAUUGGUCAAUGGGCGCGAGCCUGAACCAGCCAAGUCGCGUGAAGGAGGACUGUCUUAUGGAUUGUAAACUUCUUUUAUACGGGAAUAACAAGAGUCACGUGUGACUCCCUGCAUGUACCGUAUGAAUAAGCAUCGGCUAACUCCGUG
rnacentral:rRNA from 1 species